GGGUGGUCCACCAAUGGAUGGUACUGCUCUGGCUGGGGUUCACUUUCUGGUGAGCCGGUAUGCUCUUCACUGGGUGUGCCGAGGAACCAGGACUUUUACUUUGAAAAAAUUAGAGUGUUUAAAGCAGGCCUAUGCUUGAAUACAUUAGCAUGGAAUAAUAGAAUAGGACUUUGGUUCUAUUUUGUUGGUUUCUAGGACCGAAGUAAUGAUUAAUAGGGAUAGUUGGGGGCAUUAGUAUUUAGUAGCUAGAGGUGAAAUUCUUGGAUUUAUGAAAGACUAACUUCUGCGAAAGCAUUUGCCAAGGAUGUUUUCAUUAAUCAAGAACGAAAGUUAGGGGAUCGAAGACGAUCAGAUACCGUCGUAGUCUUAACCAUAAACUAUGCCGACUAGGGAUCAGACGAUGUUACUUUACUGACUCGUUUGGCACCUUAUGAGAAAUCAAAGUUUUUGGGUUCCGGGGGGAGUAUGGUCGCAAGGCUGAAACUUAAAGGAAUUGACGGAAGGGCACCACCAGGAGUGGAGCCUGCGGCUUAAUUUGACUCAACACGGGGAAACUCACCAGGUCCAGACAUAGUAAGGAUUGACAGAUUGAGAGCUCUUUCUUGAUUCUAUGGGUGGUGGUGCAUGGCCGUUCUUAGUUGGUGGAGUGAUUUGUCUGCUUAAUUGCGUUAACGAACGAGACCUUAACCUGCUAAAUAGUUAUGCCAACUUUUGUUGGUAGUCAACUUCUUAGAGGGACUGUCGGCGAUUAGCCGAUGGAAGUUUUAGGCAAUAACAGGUCUGUUAUGCCCUUAGAUGUCCUG
rnacentral:rRNA from 1 species